UACGGAAGGCAGCAGUGGGGAAUAUUGCACAAUGGGCGCAAGCCUGAUGCAGCCAUGCCGCGUGUAUGAAGAAGGCCUUCGGGUUGUAAAGUACUUUCAGUCGUGAGGAAGGUGUUAAGGUUAAUAACCUUAGCAAUUGACGUUAGCGACAGAAGAAGCACCGGCUAACUCCGUGCCAGCAGCCGCGGUAAUACGGAGGGUGCGAGCGUUAAUCGGAAUUACUGGGCGUAAAGGGCACGCAGGCGGUUAAUUAAGUUGGAUGUGAAAUCCCCGGGCUUAAACCUGGGAAUGGCAUUCAAGACUGGUUAGCUAGAGUCUUGUAGAGGGGGUAGAAUUCCAUGUGUAGCGGUGAAAUGCGUAGAGAUGUGGAGGAAUACCGGUGGGCGAAGGCGGGCCCCUGGGACAAAAGACUGACGCUCAUGUGCGAAAAGCGUGGGGGAGCAAAACAGGGAUUAGAUACC
rnacentral:rRNA from 1 species